rnacentral:rRNA from 1 species
UUCCGGUUGAUCCUGCCGGAGGUCAUUGCUAUCGGAAUCCGAUUUAGCCAUGCGAGUCGCACGAGUUCACACUCGUGGCAAACGGCUCAGUAACACGUGGCCAAACUGCCCUAUGGAUGCGGAUACUCUCGGGAAACUGAGGCUAAUCCGCGAUACUGCUCCCACGCUGGAAUGCCGGGAGCACGAAACGCUCCGGCGCCACAGGAUGUUGCUGCGGCCGAUUAGGUAGACGGUGGGGUAACGGCCCACCGUGCCGAUAAUCGGUACGGGUAGUGAGAGCUAGAGCCCGGAGACGGACUCUGAGACAAGAGUCCGGGCCCUACGGGGCGCAGCAGGCGCGAAACCUUUACACUGCACGACAGUGCGAUAGGGGGAUUCCGAGUGCGAGGGCAUACAGUCCUCGCUUUUCUGUACCUUAAGGUGGUACAGGAAUAAGAGCUGGGCAAGACCGGUGCCAGCCGCCGCGGUAAUACCGGCAGCUCAAGUGAUGACCGAUUUUAUUGGGCCUAAAGCGUCCGUAGCCGGCCAGGUAGGUCCGUCGGGAAAUCCACUCGCCUAACGAGUGGGCGUCCGGCGGAUACCGCUUGGCUUGGGAUCGGGAGACCAAAGGGGUACGUCUGGGGUAGGAGUGAAAUCCUGUAAUCCUGGACGGACCAUCGGUGGCGAAAGCGCCUUUGGAGAACGAAUCCGACGGUGAGGGACGAAAGCUAGGGUCUCGAACCGGAUUAGAUACCCGGGUAGUCCUAGCCGUAAACGAUGCUCACUAGGUGUGGCGCAGGCUACGAGCCUGCGCUGUGCCGUAGGGAAGCCGUGAAGUGAGCCGCCUGGGAAGUACGUCCGCAAGGAUGAAACUUAAAGGAAUUGGCGGGGGAGCACUACAACCGGAGGAGCCUGCGGUUUAAUUGGACUCAACGCCGGU